ensembl:snoRNA SNORD116 Small nucleolar RNA SNORD116
GGAUUAGUGAUGACUAAAAUAAUGGGUCUCAUUGGAAACUGAACAAAAUGAGUGAGAAGAUCAUUCUGUGAAACUGAGGUCC